rnacentral:rRNA from 1 species
GAGAAAGUGGGGGAUCUUCGGACCUCACGCUAUCAGAUGAGCCUAGGUCGGAUUAGCUAGUUGGUGGGGUAAAGGCCUACCAAGGCGACGAUCCGUAACUGGUCUGAGAGGAUGAUCAGUCACACUGGAACUGAGACACGGUCCAGACUCCUACGGGAGGCAGCAGUGGGGAAUAUUGGACAAUGGGCGAAAGCCUGAUCCAGCCAUGCCGCGUGUGUGAAGAAGGUCUUCGGAUUGUAAAGCACUUUAAGUUGGGAGGAAGGGCAGUAAGUUAAUACCUUGCUGUUUUGACGUUACCAACAGAAUAAGCACCGGCUAACUUCGUGCCAGCAGCCGCGGUAAUACAAAGGGUGCAAGCGUUAAUCGGAAUUACUGGGCGUAAAGCGCGCGUAGGUGGUUCACCAAGUUGGAUGUGAAAUCCCCGGGCUCAACCUGGGAACUGCAUCCAAAACUACUGAGCUACAGUACGGUAGAAGGUGGUGGAGUUUCCUGUGUAGCGGUGAAAUGCGUAGAUAUAUGACGGAAGACCACUGGGGAAACGACCACCUGUACUGAGAGUGACACUCAGGGGCGAGAGCCCGG